UGGGGAAUAUUGCACAAUGGGCGCAAGCCUGAUGCAGCCAUGCCGCGUGUAUGAAGAAGGCCUUCGGGUUGUAAAGUACUUUCAGCGGGGAGGAAGGUGUUGUGGUUAAUAACCACAGCAAUUGACGUUACCCGCAGAAGAAGCACCGGCUAACUCCGUGCCAGCAGCCGCGGUAAUACGGAGGGUGCAAGCGUUAAUCGGAAUUACUGGGCGUAAAGCGCCCGCAGGCGGUCUGUCAAGUCGGAUGUGAAAUCCCCGGGCUCAACCUGGGAACUGCAUCCGAAACUGGCAGGCUUGAGUCUUGUAGAGGGGGGUAGAAUUCCAGGUGUAGCGGUGAAAUGCGUAGAGAUCUGGAGGAAUACCGGUGGCGAAGGCGGCCCCCUGGACAAAGACUGACGCUCAGGUGCGAAAGCGUGGGGAGCAAACA
rnacentral:rRNA from 1 species